AGCAACGCGCAGAACCUUACCAACCCUNGACAUCCUGUGCUACUACCAGAGAUGGUACGUUCCCUUCGGGGACGCAGUGACAGGUGCUGCAUGGCUGUCGUCAGCUCGUGUCGUGAGAUGUUCGGUUAAGUCCGGCAACGAGCGCAACCCACAUCUUUAGUUGCCAUCAGGUUAAGCUGGGCACUCUAGAGAAACUGCCCGUGAUAAGCGGGAGGAAGGUGUGGAUGACGUCAAGUCCUCAUGGCCCUUACGGGUUGGGCUACACACGUGCUACAAUGGCAGUGACAAUGGGUUAAUCCCCAAAAGCUGUCUCAGUUCGGAUUGGGGUCUGCAACUCGACCCCAUGAAGUCGGAAUCGCUAGUAAUCGCGUAACAGCAUGACGCGGUGAAUACGUUCCCGGGCCUUGUACACACCGCCCGUCACACCAUGGGAGUUGGUUCUACCCGACGACGCUGCGCUAACCCUNNGGNG
rnacentral:rRNA from 1 species